UUGAAAUUGCAGCUUUUCUUUUCUAAAAACUUCUAUAUCGUGCAGCAUAGUUGGAUCACGGCUACUUGCGCAAGUUAUCAAGGCAGAUAUCACAAACGAGCUGUUCGAUUAUAAAGGUUUUACUGACACCAAUAACGAUUUUAUGACAACUACUCUUUUGUCUAAAUUGCAAUAUUUGUGGAUGUGGUUGUACCUAUUUGCUGGCUAAUAACAAUAAGCUUUGAGUGAGACCUAUGGCAGCUAACGUUACAGUUUAGCUGCUAACCAGCAAAGUUGCACAUGCUUUUCAAUCCGGUUGGUUCCUGUGCUGCUUGAAGGACAGCAAUAUGUCCUGACCUACAGGUUCAGCCAAGACCACUUGGAGCUUCUCUUCAACUCCAUCAGAGCAUCUGCCAGUUCAAGUACAUCUUUAGGAUGUAAUGCUGAUGGCCCAGUGUGGGGUUGUUAAACCAUGCAGAGGCAAUGUGACGGCACAGGAUGACACAGAGUCCCUACCAGCUGUCAUCGACACCUCUACAAGCCUGUCAGCUGUAGAUGUGUCCUCUGCAGCAGGAGAAGAUCUUCCAUCCCCGUUUGCUGACAUUCCUGCCCUAGUACAUGAACACAGCUACCUCCCCAAUCCACUUCGAUGGUCUUGUGGACAACGCUCUCAUGAUUUGUUGUGCGACAGGCUCUGAAGAAGCUGUCGUGUGAUGUCUGCCGUGCCAGCCUGGUGACAGAUGCUGCAUCUGCCAUCAAGGACCAGAGCUACCACCUGCUGAAUUUAAAAACAAUGGAGGUCUGGUGAUUCCAUCAGAGGGAACCGUGCGGGUCGUCAGGGCAGCAGAGUGGGUCAUUCGGUAGUCAUCAGGCAGUACCAGACGAUCACAGCCCAUCAAACUGCUUGAGGUUGUUUACAUUGUCUGAAAAAGGAUUGGUUCAGAGGAUGUGUUUGUGUUGGGAUAGACAGUAUGGGAUAGACAGCCACCACCAUAGGCUGUUAAAAAUAAUUCUGUCCCUGUUUAAGUUAAGGCUGCACCACAUCGCCAGAAUUACAAUCCUCAGCUUACAGAGCAACAGCAUGUGACAUAAACUUAUAAAACUGUCCUUUUCAAAGGGCAUUAGCCCAAGGUAUGUGUUUUCAAGGUACUGUCCUCUCUUACUUCAACAGUAGGUUAGUGCUCUCUACAGCAUUUCUUUUUUUGGAUAUUUGUAAAGGGGAAUCAUGUACCUAUGUCACUCUUAUAAUAGUUUAAAAAUAGAGACUUGUGUAAUUAUUCCAUAUUUUUUGUAGUCAUUCUAUAUCAGAA
ensembl:lncRNA